GUCUCUGUGGCGCAAUUGGUUAGCGCGUUCGGCUGUUAACCGAAAGGUUGCUUGUUCAAGCCCAGCCAGGGACG
rfam:Ciona savignyi cont_30202, whole genome shotgun sequence.